rnacentral:rRNA from 1 species
UGAUGUUGAAUUGAAGGGCCGCGGUAUUUUGACCGUGCGAAGGUAGCAUAAUCAUUAGUCUUUUAAUUGGAGGCUUGUAUGAAUGGUCGGACAAAAAGUUAACUGUCUCAUUUAUAUAAAUUGAAUUUAACUUUUAAGUGAAAAGGCUUAAAUGUACUGAGGGGACGAUAAGACCCUAUAAAGCUUUACAAUAAGUUAAUUAAAUUAUAAAUUGUUAGUAUAACUUGGUUUAGUUAUUAUUUGUUUCGUUGGGGCGACGAGAAUAUAAUUAUAUAUAACUGUUCUUUUAAGAAGAAAACAAGGUUAAUUGGAUUAGAAUUGAUCCUUUAAUAAAGAUUAAAAGAUUAAGUUACUUUAGGGAUAACAGCGUAAUUUUCUUUGAGAGUCCAUAUCGACAAGAAGGGUUGCGACCUCGAUGUUGAAUU